GCGAGAACGGGGGUAGGGAGUGGGGGAUCGGGGAGAGAAAAAAAGUAUGCCUGUGUAUUUCGAGCGGAGGGCAGCAAGAGGCCUCUCCUCAAGGGAAAGGUGUGGAAACAGGAAGAGAACUAGAACUGGAAGUAAAGCAUUGAAGAUGUGACUGAAUUGCUGCAAUCUCAUGAUCAAAUUUGAAUGGAUGAGGAGUUGCUUUUUAGGGAUGAGCAAAGAAAGUGGUUUCUCGAGAUGGAAUCUACUGGUUGCUCCUUGAGGGCAGGACAGUUCUUAUGGCUUUAUCCGUUGCGUAAGCACAGAGAGGUCUGCGAGGUCAAAACUAUUGUCAUGAUAGCAAGAUGCCUGUCUUUUUCAUUUAUUCUCACGGUGUGCAGAGGCUACAUGAUGUGUGAUGACAUCCUCAUUGAUGUUAAUGAAUGGUGCUAUACUUGAAUUUUCUAAGGUGUCAUUAGGUAGGUUUAGGUAUGCAUACUUGUUUUUAGAAAUUAUUUUUUUCCUUUUUCCCAUUUUUAGAAAUCAACUCAUUUUUUAGGUUAUGCCUUCAGUAAUCUUUGCAACCUCAAUAUUGUGUAAUGGUUACUUUAAAAUACUGUAGUUUUCUUUGUGCCUAAGUAUAAACAUAAGUACAUUUUGUUGUUUUGUUUGCAAUAGUGGUUUAAAUAUUUUCCCAAAAUAUCCAAAUUUAAAAAUUCUACAACUUUAGAAUUUAAUAAAUUUAUUCU
rnacentral:lncRNA from 10 species